GAUGAACGCUAGCUACAGGCUUAACACAUGCAAGUCGAGGGGUAACGAGAGGAAAGCUUGCUUUCCUUGUUGACGACCGGCGCACGGGUGAGUAACGCGUAUCCAACCUGCCCCCAACUAGGGAAUAACCUUGCGAAAGUAAGACUAAUACCCUAUAAUUUCCUCAGAUGUCAUCUGACGAGGAAUAAAGAUUUAUCGGUUGUGGAUGGGGAUGCGUCUGAUUAGCUUGUUGGCGGGGUAACGGCCCACCAAGGCAACGAUCAGUAGGGGUUCUGAGAGGAAGGUCCACCACAUUGGAACUGAGACACGGUCCAAACUCCUACGGGAGGCAGCAGUGAGGAAUAUUGGUCAAUGGGCGGAAGCCUGAACCAGCCAAGUAGCGUGCAGGAUUACGGCCCUAUGGGUUGUAAACUGCUUUUAUACAGGAAUAAAGUUAGCCACGUGUGGUUAUUUGUAGGUACUGUAUGAAUAAGGACCGGUUAAUUCCGUGCCAGCAGCCGCCGUAA
rnacentral:rRNA from 1 species